rnacentral:misc_RNA from 1 species
GGCUAUUGUUGGGAAUGGAAUUCAGGAUUGUAAUAUUGGGGAAGGGCUCUUUAAGAACGAGGCAGUUGAAUUUUGCACGAAUGGAGAAAAAAGCUCCUCAUUACAAUUAAAUGGCAGUAAUAAAAACAAUUUUGAAAGUAAGGUGCUUGUGGUGAAUUUUGAUAAUGGAUCGAAUCCGUUGGAUGGGAGGGCCGAAGAUAGGUUGAAUUCGUUGGAUAAUUCUGUCAAGGAAAAUGGGAAUAAGGGCGGUCUUGAGGGGCCAAGGGAACGAGACUUUGAUAGUGAAGAAAGGUACUGUAAAAAGGCUAGGAUUACCAGCAGUUACAAAAAUGAGAGACAGUACUCUAGUAGAGGGCAAUAUGAUCCAAGGGACAGGGAGAGGAGCUCUAACAGGAAGAGGCUGCGAGAUUGGGACGACAUUGAUAGGAGGGACAAGUAUCAUAAUCGGAGAAGAGAUAGGUAUAACGGUAGGAGAGAUGGGAGAGAUAGGGAUUGGAGGGAUAGGGAACCAAGGGGUUAUUGGGAGAGGGACCGUUCUGGGUCCAAUGAGAUGAUUUUUCACUCAGGUAGUUGGGAAGCUGAUCAUAACAAAGAAGGAAAGGAAAGCAAUGACAAGGAUGAGGAGUGCAAUGGAAAGCCAGAGAAGAAAUCCGAGGAGACCAAGGAGAAAUUCCCUGAGGAACAAGCCCGCCAAUAUCAAUUGGAUGUUCUUGAACAGGCCAAGAAGAGAAAUACAA